rnacentral:tRNA from 1 species
GCGGAUGUAGCUCAAUGGUAGAGCCACUGAUUUCCAAUCAGUUGACGAGAGUUCGAUUCUCUCUAUCCGCU